AUGCAUCAGCUGAUUCUAAUGGGAAUAUCAAAAUCCAGGGGAGACCUUCAAAUUUGUCCUGAAAUAGAGCGACUGGAUUCGUAUGGCCCUGUUUCAAUCAGUUGUCUUCAGGCUGCACUAGGAGGCCUUAGACGAGGUGGCUCUCUUUAGCAGAGAGUAAUUUGCAGAGAGGGCUCACAUCUGAGAGCUAUCUGACAGCAGCACUUCCAGCAGCUAGGAGAAUAAUUCCUUCAUGUUAAAGGUCCAGGUAGGAAGAUUUAAAGCUCUGGGUAAGGUUGCACAAGACUGCAUCCACUAUAUUUUAUCCUUUGUGCCGCUUGGAUCCACUUGCUUCAUAAAAUUUCUGGGAACAGAUCCAUCAGGAUUCUGGUGGACCUCAUUUCCCAGAGGAAAUGUGUAAAAGGAAGUUUAGUGGGAUUAACUAUAGCCUCUCCCACUGAAGCCAGGCACUUGCUCACAACUGAUGCUCAUCAUCUCCAUCCUCCACUAUCCAUUCAAGAUUCCCCUCACCUUUGGCUAGGAGCUCAACUUGUUUAGGAGGUUUAUUUGGUGACAGAACAAAGAACCUCAUACCUGAAGUUCCUGAUACCCUGGUAACCAUGCUAUGGUUUGCAUGCGGCUGCAACACUCAUUCUUUAACUGAUUAUCUGCUGUGUUUUCUCAUUACUUUAUAAAGCAAGUACUGAUUGGGUGAAGAAGGAGUUGUCUCCUACCCGUUGCGAUUCCUGUAAUAUGCUCACUCUUUGGGAAAAUGAUCUUGGAACCAGCGACUCCCGAUGCCAUGUGUGAAUCAUAGCACUAGGAGAUUCCCAAUACCUUAUCCCAAGAGAGAAUCACUGAUAUGCAUACAAAUGUUUAUUGCUCCCCAAUUUUUACAUAAAUUGAAGCAGAACUCAACAUAGUAUUCUUCACCGUGUUUUAUUCUCUUGGCAAUAUUGGGAGCUGUGGAGAUAGGACUUUAGAUGGUCCUGAAUUCCUAUCAUCUUACUUGGGAUGGCCAGAUCCCCGAGAUGACUGGAAGUGAUGUUUGAUUCAGACAAUGUGGAAUCCCCGGGGGAAGUCUUUUGUUAAUUCGUGUGUCCUGUGAGAUAAAAAUGGUUGGUGAUCAGUUGUGAUUUUGCUAAGCCGGCUCAUCAGUUUUGGGAUGCAAGAUCCCAGGAAGUACCGAGUGGUUUUAAGUGAUAAAAAAUAUUAGUGAACCAAUGUCUCAAAGGUGAUAUCACCGCUGGAAACACCAGGAGACCUAAGCUGAAAUCCAAAAGAGCCUGGAAAUAUACAUCGUAAAGAUUUCCUGCAUAAAUAUCAUUUGCGCAACAAAACCAGGACAAUUUUCUGUGGAGGUAGAAGAAAAGGAACCAUUAGGAGAAUAUCCAGCAAACACGUUUUUCAGUUUGUAUUUGUCUUGGACUAAUGUCAUGAUUCAUUUAUGGAUCUAACAUGAUAUUUAAUAUUCUUUAUCUCAGUUCAACUUUUAUUGUGUUUGCUUCUGGUCUACUUUGGAAAAUGACUGAUUUUGUUUCUUAUAUCAACUCCUGUCCAGUUUUACUAGCACUGUAAAAUGGCAUUUUAGUUUCAGCUAUGUCUCAGAAAUGAAAACAAUAAUUUCUUAAUUGGUAGGAUUUCAAUUUCCCAAAACAACUGAUCUGAAUCAUGCUUUUUAAAGCAUUUUUUCCUACAAAGCUACUUAUCCAAAUAAAGAUAUUUUGUAGUUCAAUUUUCUGACAUGUCUGAAUGCUGGGAGCAAGAAAAAGAAAUACAAUUGAACAAAUUGAGGCACAAUUUUUGUUUUGUUUUGUUUUAGUGAAAAUCUUAUACAAACUUGAGAGAAGGACAAAUAAUUUACCAAAUCAUUAUGGCAGUAUUACAUUUUUUGGAAUUGUUUAUAAUAACCUUAUAUGACAUUAUUCUAGUUUGGAUAUAGUUGUAAUAGGUUUUUACACAGGCAUAAUAUAGUAAUUUAACACAACAAAAAAGAAUAGAGAAGACAAAUAGAAAGAGAAUAUUUAGAUACAUUUUACAUAUCAUUGAUAUGCUACAUGCAAACAUAAAUUCUAUAAUGGAAAAUUAGUCAAGGAGUAAGAGUAAGAAAUUCAAAACAGGUGAUAUCCAUAAUUGAGGAUAAUUAGGACAGAAUUCGUCUGAGUAGGGCGGCCCAAACUUCUGUUGGCUCUUGUGCUAAAGUGGCUGUUUCAGAUCUACAAAGAAGUGAGAUGCAGUUUUAUGCCAUCUGAAGCUAGAGUUUAUUAACAUAAUCUUUCUCUGGUUAAAAAAUAUUCAAUUCUACCGCUAUGAUUUUAGGGAGCUAUACAGUUUCAUAGGAGUUAACGAUGCAAAAAAUCACAAAACAUAUACUUUCAUGUAUGAGGAAAAAGCAGGGAAUAGGUGGGACCACUUAUUUAAGGAAUGCUGAUUCCGACUGCAGUGCAAGAUUUGAAAUCGUUUAUUAUUUCCUAGAUAAGAAAGUCACAGUUUCAGGAAAGUGUCUUUGGAAAACAAAGAGUACAUUUAGAUUAAUGAAAAAAGGAACGAGGGGUCAGCUCCAUGGUGUAGUGGUUAAGUUCAGCAUGCUCUGCUUCUGUGGCCUGGGUUCACAAGUUGGGAUCCUGGGCAUGGACCUACACCCCUCAUCAGCCAUGCUGUGGUGGUGACCU
ensembl:lncRNA